AGUGGCGGACGGGUGAGUAACGCGUGGGCAACCUGCCCUAUACAGGGGGAUAGCAGCUGGAAACGGCUGGUAAGACCGCAUAAGUCGGUUAAAUCGCAUGAUUUGAUCGGGAAAUGAGCAAUCAGGUAUAGGAUGGGCCCGCGUCCGAUUAGCCAGUUGGCAGGGUAAAAGCCUACCAAAGCGACGAUCGGUAGCCGGACUGAGAGGUCGGACGGCCACAUUGGGACUGAGACACGGCCCAAACUCC
rnacentral:rRNA from 1 species